rnacentral:lncRNA from 1 species
GAGAACCGGUCAAUGAUAAGCAAGAUGGCCUCAAGAUCGCCCACUUUUUGGAGAUGUGUAAUUCAGUCCAUGGAUACGCUCUCCCAUGGUCUUGUCGGAACAGGCAAGGGUUCUCGAAGCCCAGCAACUUUUGCUUUCUCGAUUUUGUCCUGUUGGCAGAUGAGGCAUGUCUUUGUAUACUGCAUGACGUCGUCUCUCAUAUUGGGCCAGAAGUAGCCCUUUUUCAGCAAAGCGUACGUCCUCUGCCAUCCAGGGUGGCCAGCCCACAGAGUGUCGUGACACUCGUGUAAUAAUCUCUUCCUUAUGUCCCCUGCUCUAGGCACAUACAGCCGAUUUCCUCUGGUUACUAAUAGGUCAUCUUCAACCCAAAACAGUCUUGUCUUACCAGCCUUAGCUAAGUUCAUGACUGUCUGAGCGGCGGGAUCUUUCUGCAAGAAUUCUCUCAAGACAUCACGCAUUGAGCCAUCGAUCUUACUCGUCUGAAGGUGAGCUAAGAUGCACAGGGCCGCAUCUUCGCUUUUCCGGCUCAGGGCAUCAGCUGCCCGCUUACUCGAUCCCUUCUUAUGUUCAAACUCUCAAUCAAACUCGGCCAGUCCUGCCACCUUGCUUGCUUCGAAGUCAAUUUCGGCUGAGUAAAGAAGUGGCAUGUAGCACUGUUGUCUGUCUUCACAACAAAUGUCGAACCCAGUAAAUACUGUCUCCAGGCCCUCAGGCAAUGUACCACUGCCAACAUUUCUUUUUCAGACACAGUAUAUCUCUUUUCUGCUGCAUUUAGUUUUCGGCUUUCGUAUGCGAUGGGGUGUCCAUUCUGCAGGAGAACACCGCCCAACGCAUAAUCAGACGCAUCGGUCUCAACUUCAAAAGGUUUUGUCACAUCAGCGAUCCCCAUCCCCAGAACUGGCCCUUCAAUCAUGGCUUGUUUCAGACCAUCGAAGGCGGCCUGAGAUUCGGGGGUCCAACUCCAUUGGAUGUCCUUCUUCAACAACUCCGUCAAUGGACUUGCCCUUUUUUUGAGAAUCCUUCCACGAAUCGCCUGUAGUAAUUAGCUAAUCCGAGAAAGGAAGGUAAUUCGGUGACUGACUUUGGUAUUCCCCAAUCACGUAUUGCAGCAAUCUUCCCUUCUUCCAUACCAAUUCGGCCACACUCUAUCACAUGACCCAGAAAAUUGAUCCGCUCUUGCGCAAAGGAGCAUUUUUCUCUCUUGACAUACAGCUGGUUUUCCUUCUGUUUCUGAAAAACCCUUUGAAGGUGGUCCUUGUGUUCUUCCAUUGUGGAGCUAUAAACCACUAUAUCAUCUAGGUAGACCACGACAAACUUGUCAAGGUAUUCAUUCAUUCAAGACCUGGUUCAUUAAUGUACAAAAGGUUGCAGGAGCGUUGGUAAGGCCAAAUGGCAUUACGAGGAAUUCGAAGGCUCCGUAUCUUGUGACACAGGUCGUCUUGGGCUCAUCUCCCUCUGCAAUUCAGACUUGAUAAUAUCCCGAUCCGCAAGUCUAGCUUCGAGAAAGAUUUCGCCCCGGUCAAAGAGGUCAGUGAUUAUGGGAAGUGGAUAUUUGUUGCGAAUCGUGAGCUUGUUCAAGGCACGGUAGUCAAUACACAACCGUAGACUUCCAUCCUUCUUCUUUUCUUCUGGAAAAGGACUGGGGCCCCAUACGGAGCUUUUGCAGGUCUAAUAAAUCCUGCACUCAAUAACUCAUCCAACUGUUUCCGAAGUUCAGCUAACUCCGGUGGCCCCAUACGAUAGGCAUUCUUCGCAGGGGGUUUUGCCCCUGGUAGUAAUUCGAUCUCAUGAUCAAUCAUUCUUCGCGGUGGCAGAGAUUUGGGCAAACUGUCGGGCAUCACGUCACUGUACUUCUCUAAGACACACAGAAUGUCUUUGGGGACUGUCUCCCCCGGGUUUUCCAACGACUCGAGCGGGAUAUAAAUCUUGGUUCAUCUCGAGCGAGGCCCUUCUGAAAUUGCAUGGCCGAAAUCAUUUUGAACCCCUUAGGCUGGCGAAUGUCUGUCUGUACAACGGUGGGGGCAGAUCCAGUGAUCACUAGACAUUUAGCUAAAGGCAUUGGUAUCACCUGAUGUUCAGUUCAAGCAGAAAUUCCCAUUCCCAGUACCACAUCGAAGUCAUCCAUUUUGACAACCACAAAAUCUACGGGGCCGCUCCAUCCUCCCAACUUUAUCAUCGUUCGUUUCACUAGUCCGACGAUAGGUAAGGCAGCAGAAUUCACGGCCUUCAUUUUUCCUGUAUCCUUCUCCCAACGGAGACUUAGUCGUUUGGCUUCUGCCUCUGUUAUUCAAUUGUGAGUUGCACCGGAAUCAACCAUAGUGCUCUUGGACGGUUUCUGCUUGAUCCAGGUGUCAACAUACAUUAGCCCCCUUUCUACCGGCGCAUUUGUCUCCCCUACCUUCUUCUAGAGAGACGAUAAGAAUUUCAAGGCCCCCCAAAAAAAUGCUUUUUUCCUCUGUCUGGCCAACUUCACCUUCUGCUUGACUCGACUUAUCAUCUGAAUCUGAGGUCAAAGAGGCCUGAAAGGCAUUGAAGGCGGUUCGAUUUGGACAUUCUCUUGCCAGAUGAGAUGUGGUCCCUUACAUAUUCAAGAACUGAGAGGACGAUUGUAUGAGUUCUGAUUAUUUGGUCCUCGCCAUGUGUUCCCCGUAUUUGUUUGGAAGGGCUUGCGGUCUCCGCUAGGCCGUUUGUCUCCCCCAGCUGCUUUGGGGGAAGUGGGGCGGUUACUCUUGUUUCCUCCAGAUGAGGAAUUUUGGUUACGUCUCACGUCUUGGGAGUCGUUAGACAGAUCAAAGAAUCGUUCGGCCGCUGCGUAUGCUGACGUGAGGUCUUGGACCCUUUGUUCAUAUAACUUUGUCUUUGCCCACGGUUUCAGGCCUUCGACAAAACAGAAAACUUUGUCUUUCUCUGACAUAUCACGUAUGUCUAACAUCAGCCCCGCAAACAGCUUCACAUACUCCCGAAUAUUGCCCGUAUGUUUUAGUUCACGCAAUUUCCGCCGAGCCUGAAUUUCAAGAUUCUCGGGGAAAAACUGCGAGCGGAGUUCUUUCUUCAAACUGUCCCAAGUGUCUAUUGUGCAACGCCCUUCUUGAAUGUCGACGUAACGGGAUCUCCACCAUCACUUUGCAUCCUCAGCCAGAUGCAUAGUUGCCAGCCUCACUUUGGCUUCUUCUGUGACUGUGUUUGUGGCCUUGAAGUAUUGCUCGAGGUCAAAGAUUCAAUUCUCCCAACAAAUCUUCGUUCUUAGUUAUUUUCUUCCUAGGCUUUUAGUGGUCCGAAGGCUCGACUGAAAGGAGUCCAAGAUUCAAGCUUCAUCAAUGAACAAAGGUUGAGACAGGAGCGCACUAAUGAAAUAGCGAGACUAAAAACUGAAAGAAAAAGAAAGCUUAAUAAGGGUUGAAUCAGGGACUGUUCAGGAGCAAAGAAUUUGCGAAGGCGCGAAGCGACUGUUAAGGAGUCCGUAAGGACUCAGAAAUCGUUGAAUGAAUGAGUCCUUCGCUUUCAGAGUCCUAACCUUUGUAUCCUCAUUUCUAAGGACUGAAUUCAUGUGUUAAGCAAAUUCUCUGAGAUCCUUUUUUCCUUUCUGGCUAUUUCUCGGCUUUUUUCUUGCUAAAUGUGACUUUUUCUCAUCUUUCUAUUUAAUGAAAAUAGAGAAAAAAUGACUGAUUUUUUCUCUUUUCUUGCUACUUCCCUAUGGGCAAAACCUUGCAAAAUCUUGUAUUUCCCUCCCCAUAUUAAGCAAAGAUGUCUGAAAUCUCCCAUAUUCACCUCUUUCUUUUUCAUUCCCAUUUUUUUCUUCUUUCAUUAUCGUUAAUGAGUUCAUUCUUUCUCUCAACUCCUCUUGAGAUAAUUCUUUGAGCCUUCCUGAUGGAUAGUCCUUCGGACCUGUCUUAUGGAACCUCUCCGUCGAGCCGCUUUCGCUCCUCCCAAAUAUAUAUGAUGAAUACUCGUUCGAAAGAAUAUUGAACUUGAUUUUCACUCCUUCUACGGGGUCCUCCGGACUAUGAAUCAUAUUUUCGAGAACAAGGCUCGACUGAAAGGAGAGGAGACUUCUCCUCCAUUUAAAGGAAUCAAACUCCACAGCAAAAAUGCGGUUUCUGACUCAGAUGGACAUUCUUUCUUUUCUGGACCGCGGAAGAAGACGGAGAAUCGAUGAAUAGGCGACUAGCGAAGCGAAGCCACGUAUCAAUGUAGAAAAGGGGAAGAAGAAAGAAGAAGAAUUUGCUCUUUGUCUGAUGAGAUCUGAACCUAAAAUAGUCCGGAGGCAGAAAGCGAAAGGCUAAAGGUUAGAAUAGGAUAGAGGUGCGAAUAUCUCUUCGUAUUAGUUCUUUCGGAACAGAGCAAAGAAUUAGCGAAGAGGAUCCCGAACUUCCUUCCCUCAAGAGGGACAAAGUCAGGAGUGAUGAAAGUAGAGAGAGGUAUCGGGUAUGGUAUCAUAUCUAUCCAGUUAUUCAGUAAUUUCAUAAGACUUUCGUCAGCCCCUCUUUCAGACAGGGAAUGAGAAGGAGAGUACGAGUCAGAAGUCUAAGUGCUUCCAUUCUUCCAUUAUUGAAAGAGGUCGGAAGUCGAGCUUUCUCUUUCAUAAGUAGGGUCAAGAUCUAACCAUCAGAUAAAGGCUAGGAAAGCUUUUCUGAAUAAGGCAUGAGAAGUAGUAAUGAAAGAAGUCAGGAUGAAAUGAAAGGGGCUUGCUUUCACGAAGAGGGCUAGUUAUUAGUCUCGGAAUCGGAAGAUAAAGAAAGGGAAUGAGAAAAGGUGCUAAGCCGCUCCACUUAAGUGGAUCCAUACUUCAGACAGGAAAGAAGAUAGACAUAGUGCUUGUCCAAUGAGAGACUACUACUAGGUGCAAAGAAUAUUGCUCAAGAAGUCCACCUUAUUUUCAGUUCACCAAAUAGAAUUCGAGGCGGAGGCGCAAAGAAUAUUGCGUGAUCGAAGCGUAUUUAUCAAAGAAUUAUCGAAGAUAAUCAGUCCCGCUUUUUUAGUGGAAUUCUACGGUCGGAUCAGAGAUCCCUAGGUCCUUACGAAGCUCUUUCUCGUCUGACUUAAGAGAACCUUUGGUCGAGCUCAGUCUUCGAUUUUCUUUGGCUUAUUUUCAAGAGACAGAUUUUUCAUGAUUUCUUGCUCUGAGCCAAAAGUGAAAAAUGACUAUUCUCUUUAUUCAGUAGAAAGAGAAAUUGAAAGAACUUAUUCUUUGCGAAAGCAACUUCUUCUUAGAGAAAGGAAUAAGACGAUAAGACGAUUCGGAGCACCCCCAGUUCGUGCUUUACACCAAAAAGUAGAAAAGGAACUCCUUACGGAAAAAGGCUUUUUCACAGAACCCACUACGCGGUGAGGACCUCUUUUUCACUAUACUCACCUGAACCGGGGGAAGAUGUCAAAAAGUCACUAUGAAUAAUGGCACUUUGCACCGCACAUAUAUGGAUAUAGGGGGAUCAGCCCAUUUCAUUCAUCUCAUUUCUUAGUGGGAAUGUCUUUUUUAUGACUAGGCAAGAUGGCAGGAAGAAAACUCUGUUGCGACUAAGAAUGAGUUAGGUUAUCAGCCGCUAUCCAGAAAGAGAUGAAAAACUAAGUGAAACUCUCCCGUUAUUCCGUAUCUCUUGUUCCAGAAAAGAAAGGGCAUGAUCCGUUGAGGCAUCGGGGCAGGUGUGAAUAAGCCGAGUUGGAGAUCUUUCUCUUUCAUUAUCUCUUGAGUACGAAAGGGUGCGGUUCGCGGAAGUACUAUAUCUCAUCGAGUCAAAUCAAUUUUCACUAUCUGAAUUUCAUAGAAUCCCAAUUGGUACGGCGCGCUUAGAUCUCUUGAGUAGGGCCUCCGUACUGCUUACUGCUGGAUUGAUUGACUGAAAGAUCUUCCCCUUCUCUGAAGGUAGGCAGUGAUUCCAAAACAAGGAAAAGGCACUCGCUCGCUUACCAACGAUCGCGCUAGGAAGAAGACAAGGUUGGCGGGAGGGUGUACAAUAAGGCCUUUCCUUUCGAAAAAAGGGGUUGAAUUCAUCCAUGGGCGAAUGAGAUGGUGGCCUAUUUAUCCUUUUCUUUACAUAAAGAACCUUCUUUAUCCCAGCCCGGAGAAGGCUCGAUGGCGGAUAUUCCGAUAUAAUCAGAUAAGAAGUGAGGUAGUCUUCCAAAAGACUUUUUUUCACUGAACUUCAGAAGACAAAUACCGGAAGGAGAGAUAGGAUCCGGCUUCCCCGCUCCUCUUAUCUGAAUUUUCCGAAAGAGAGACUCAUCGGCUGGAGCUUUCUUUUUUUAUGGAUUCGUCGGACCCUCCUACUGACUGGCUUCCCCGAUCGUACUCCCAUCUAAUUCCUCUGUCUACUCAUUUCUUUGAGACUCGGAUUCAACGGAGAAUGCUACCGCUCCGUGGGGACUACGGAUGGAGAUCCAUUCAGUGGAAUAAAUCAGUCCGACGUAAAGAAGCUCCGCGGACUUUGCGCUCUUCUGAACUUAUAUAAAGUCGCUUCGCUUCGCUUUCGGUAAGUAGGUUUAAGUCCUAUGAAAUUCUUAGUACUUCAGAAAGAGAAGAAGAAGAAAGCCGGAGGUCGGGAUAGACUUAUGAAAGAGAAAGAUCUCGAUUCCUCUAUGGUCUCGCUACUUUCUUCCUAUUCGGACACAUAACUUCCUUCUUCAAGAUCUCAUUCUAACUGAACCUAUUCAAGGGAUUCCUGCCGAACUCUCAGCUCAGACCCACUCCGCGGUCAAGAUCUCAGGAUUCUGCUUUGUCAACCGCUUUCUCUCAAAUUUCAUUGAUCCUAACUACGGCGACGCAAUAUUCUUUGCACCUCUCCUCCAUCUCAGUCGAGCCCAUGGAGACGCUACGAAGGAGUCGUUUUCUACCUUUCAAUUACCUUCCGAUCCGACUCAUGAAACUGGGAAUGAUGACUCCUACUCUGCCUCUGACUCAACGGGGCCCCUUUCCUGUGCUGGGCCCUCUUCGGAAAGAGAGACCUAUGACUCGUCUUCUCAGGAAAGCAUAGUAUCCCCUUCCACUCAAGAAUCGGGAAGGCCCUUGAACUCCUAACCCUACCCCCGGACCCUUUACUCGACGUUCUUGCCUACGAUUUCCGCUCGAGCAGCUUCUUACUCUUUCCCUACUGACUCCCCGGAAAGAAGCAGAGUUAGCUCCGACCCUUGCUUCCUAACCUAGGCGGUCAACCUAUUCAGACUGAAAAAAAUGAUGAAAUGGGAAAACUGAGCUCCGAUCCUGGGCCUCGCCUCUCUUUCCUCCUGACUCAUGGAGUUACUGUAGAAACCUAUGAUUCUCACAAUGAAAGCAUAAGACCUAUCAGAUAGUUCGCGCUUCGCUCAUCAGAUACUCUAUAUAGAUAGUUCGUCCCCUUUCUGACUCAACUGGGACUACUUCCUUUCCUGGGCUGGGCCCCCUUCUCCUACUUCUUAGUUCAUGGAAGCGGCUAGGCUAGUCCUACUCACUGAUUCUGAAAUGGAAAAAGGGGAGAAGAUAAGAAAAGAGCUUUAAGGGAACUGAUGGAUAGUCCGGAGGACCACUACGCGGGAAGAAAGAAUAUCCUUAGCUGCCGUGAGAAAGAAAAGCAUAUUCAAUAAAGAAAAGCUCUCUUUACUUAAUGAAAAGUUAUUAUAUCUUUGCAUUCGCAGAUUUCAGUCAUAAAAUCAAUCAAUGAACAAGUCCGAAGGUUCAAAGUCGCAUAUUGAAUUGCGCCUCCGUCCUACGUGCCAAAGAAAGGUCCAGGGUCCGGAGGAUUUAUCCGUAGGACUAUCCAUUAGAAGCAGUCCGCAGGAUUUAUCCUACGUCCGGAGUCCGGAGUCCGCAGGAUUUAUCCGUAGGACUAUCCAUUAGAAGUAGUCCGGAGGAUUUAUCCGUAGGACCAUCCGUAAUUAACCGAAGUAGGACCAUCCAUAUGGAGGGAAGGAGGACUAUCCAUAUGGAAGUAGGACUAUCCGUAAUUAACCGAAGGAGGACUAUGAACCAUAUAGCCUUUACCCACGUAGCGGUGUGACUUUAGCUCUCUCUCCCCUGUCGGCUUGAGAAAGAGUAACUAAAAUGAACCUUCUAAGAUUCCUUCCGUAACCAAGUAAAGACAUGUCUUUCCUUACUUUUGCAGAAAGGAGAAAUUCAAAUGAUCAGAUAGGAAGCAAUAGUACGUACCUCCGGCAGGACCUAGAAAAGUACCCCUCGGUGAGCUCUGCGUAACCUAGAAAGAUCCGGAAACCUUUAAGCUAACUAAUACCUUUAGACAACCUAUCAAGAACCCGCAAGAAAUAACCCGAAGGUGAGCUCUGCGCUUUUCGGUUUGGAAGCUCCCUUCAAGGGGCGGAGCGGAGCCAUCCCUCAUGACGCGGCAAAGAGGGGAAGUUCAGUACAUAAAAGUUCAAAAGUCAGCCUAAGAGUAGCUCUUCCUCUGUCUUAUCUCCCUCUCUCCCUAGUAGUCGGUAGCAUCUACCGGCUCUUCCGGGUUUGAAGGAUGUCUUAUAUGGCUCCGCUCCUUGAAGGGAGUGUAGGUUUGGGGCUUCCUUCCUACCAAGCCAAUCAGCCAAGAAUUCUGUCUUCCUCUUCGUAUAUCGGAAAAAAGUCGUCCGUAGGACGUACCAUCCGUCGGCCUUGUUCAAGGCUUAGGCCUAAGUCAAAGACGCCUCUUUCUUUCUCUAUUCAAAAAGUAGGGAGCUCUUUCCCAUCAUUCCGCUUUUGGGUUAUUGAGAGAAAGUGCAUACAUAGAAGAGUCAACUUCCUAAAGACCCAAUCUCGAAAUUCAAUCUAAACGUGAUAAAACCUCCGAAACCGCUCCGUGGGCCUGGCGACAGGAUAAUCCGGACCUCCUUCUCACUCAAAUGCGGGUAAGAGUCUUAUCUGUAUUUAUUUAUUUAAUGCCAUAAAGAAGUGGCUUUCUUUUAAGGAAUGAAGAAAGAAGGCAGGCAAUUGAUCCUUUUUUCCUUUCAAACUCAGCUCUUUCUCGUCCGUGAGAGAGUUUAUAGACCGAGAAAAGAUCUUUUUUGACUGAUUUUUCAUUCUUUCUUGCUGCAUUAUUAUAUGAGCCAAAAGCGAAAAAUGACUAUUGGAUCGGACGAGGUCAAAAGUGCAAAAUGACUAUUCUCUUUCGCUAAUACCUUCAAAAUACUGAAGAAAGUUACCCACUACGCGGUAGAUUUCAGAGUCCCAACAAGAAGUUUCAGUUCCAUAAAAGAGUCAGUCCAAAGGACGGGUUCAAGCCUUCUUGGAUAAGUCUCAGACAGCAUUUGAAGAUCGGGACCGCUACGUGGGCACCCCCACACAUCCGUACUAACCCGCUUAGCUCAGAGUCAGUUCGGCGGGAGGUCUCGGGGAAUCUUUCUAUCCUUUAGAGGAAGCUGCCUGCCUGCUUCGUAUUCUAAGUUGCAGAAGAGUCAGUAGCUGUCUCACUUCUUCAAUCUCCAUCUUUCUAUCCCGUAAGCGAGAGGAAGCCCAGAGACCGGGGAGGGUCCGAAGCCUCAUCCAGUUCGUAGGACGCUGCCGUUGCUGCUUUACCGAGUGAAGGAGGUGCGGUUCUUUCCCGAGGGAGAGUCAUAAGACUCGAGAAAAAAAAGAAGAUUUGGAAACUUUAAGGAAGGAAAGCCUACCAUAAAGAAAAAGCAGGAAGAUGAAGUUCAUAUUCCAUAAAUCAGUCCAAAGGACGGGUAGAGAAUGAGUGAAGAAGUCCCCUAGUAGAGUAGAUAUGGAGGGAAGGAGCUUAGUUUCAUAAGUGGCUCUUUCUGUAUCGGCUGAUGUCUGGUCGCAUCAAUCAGCUCGCUUGGGAUCUUAGGGCUCCCCUGAAACCCUGCUCUGGGGAUUCAAAGAAGAAGAGCAGGUCGAAGAAGAUUAAGAUAAGAGGAAAGGGUAGGAGCGGAAGACGGAGCGGUAGGGGAUUUCUACCACUGCAACCGCUACGUGGGCUUCUCAUCCUAACUUAAGUGGAAUAAAUCAGUCCUUCGGACUCUCAAAGUACUAUUUUCUCUAAAUAUGCUCUAAUUCUUAUUCAAUGGCUCUUCAAUCUAUUGAUUUGACUGCUAAUUCCCGGCAGCAAACCCUGUCCCCUUGGAUGCGCGCAAACCCGGUAGGAAAAGGCGAUGCAUACUAUUUGACUCGGGCUUGUUUUCAUUGCAUUUCCCCCGUAUUUCUGAACUCUCAAAGGGUUCUUAGACCAGAGUAGAUGCGCCGUAGCAGAGGAGAAAGGUGAGAGUGAGUUACGAGGCCUGGUGGCGGCGGUAGCAUAAGUUCUUGCUUCAGUUGCUUAGCCCACUCCGCGCAGUCCGAAUGGAAGAAAAGGCAUUGGCCGUCGGCCUGGCUUAUUUCUCAAAUUUGAGCUGAACUUUUCAUUGACUUCUUUCGACCAGAGUGAAAACUUUUCUACCCACUCCGCGGUCACGAACCUCACGACCAAGAGAAAGAUCUCAGGCUGAAACGGGGACAACUACUUCGCCCACUUAUGAAAGAUCAGACUCCCUCUUGCCCCAGGGGGAGGCAGGCACAUUGGAGUGGUUCGGAUCAAUAUGGAAUAUUUCAUUAUUUCCCCACGCCCCACCAUUUUUCACACUUGAAAAGAUUGAAUUUUCCCGGCGGUCGGACCACACUUCUUGAGCUACGAGGUUCUUGAGUUCAGUCGCCCUGAUCUUGUAGCAUCCCUUGAAGUUUCUCUCGUUGAAGUAGCCGUAGUUCUCGCAGAGGCUUAUCUUGAAGACAAGUUGAAAGAAGUCCACGUAGCGUUAAUGCACUCAAUUCACGAGAAUCUCUAUAAUGAUCAAAGAUUUUCCAUCUCCAAACUGACUAAAAAAAAGAGUAAACUCCACACGAGGCCGACGAAGGACCCAAGACAGAUUCAAACUUGAAGGCAGUGCCCGAAUUAGCUUUUGAGGACGCUCUUGUCCCGAAAAUCUUCUUUGAACCUCGUCACAGUUCUUCUUUAAGAAGUGGCAGAUUCAGAAGCUCUUGCUUAGUUUCGCCAAAUGGAGAUUGGACCUCUAACUAACAAGGAUAGAAGGAGCGAGACCGUCCUCCGGACUCAUGAAUUAAUAUGUUCGGGAGGCUCAAAGAAUUAUCGAAGAAAGAAUUUGAGGUCCUAGAAAUCGAUUAUUUUGACACCAUUGAAUUUCUGAUUUCAGAGUCAGGUCCAGAUGAAAAAUAGCAUUUUACCGGGAGCCAUAUUUUCUUCUUAUAGAGUGAACGAGGUCUUAAUACGGGACGCAUACUUCACUCUUAUUCCGGUAGAAGUUCAGUGAUUCAACGUGGUCUCAUUCCCCGGUAAAAUCACCAUGCAAACUGGGGUCUUUCUCCCUCAUCCAGCGAGUAGGACGCCUAAGAAAGGGGUAUUAUCUCUUCUGAGAUCGGUCCGCGGAGGCGCAAAGAAUAUUGCGAUGCGAUUGAGAUUCCAAAAAGUAGCUAUUACUUUGAGAGGUCGUCGCCCUUGCAGAAGUAGGAGGAGCAGUCUUCCGUCGCCCACCUAGCGUGGAAGGGUAGCAGUUGAGAAAGAGAGUAUAUGAUAGAAUAGAGUCUUCGUCUUCGAUCGAUCGGAUCGCUCCUUAUAAGGCGGGCCUACAACUUUCUUUAUCCCAUUUCUGACUCGUCUUAGUCGAUGCGAUCUUUACUUAUUUCACGAACAUUUCAACCCACAAUAUCCCCUGUCCGCAAUAUUCUUUGCACCUCCUUCACAGGAAAACUAGAAAAAGAGCAAGGCGCAAAGAAUUUGCGGGAUCCUUCCCAGCUCGUCGAGCAGCGUCUUUGCUUUGACCCGCAGUAAACAUAUGUCAUAAAGAGCCUGAAAUACGGGGAAAAUGGAAUGAAUUCACGUCUUUGAUUGUCAUGAAAUCAUUCUCCAUCUCUCUCCUCCAUCUGAAUGGGACUGAAGAAGAAGGUUCCGCUCUCAAGAGAAAAGGAAGGAUAAGCGAUCGGAGACCUAGGCUACUGGAUCGGUUUUCCGGGAACACAGAAGGUUAGGAAGCCCGGUAAGACCCCGGAAGAGGAAAAAGAAAGUAUGGGAUAGGAGCUAGGGACCCGAUCCGAAGCUCAGAGGCGGAGGAAGUUGAAGGAUCUCCAUCCGAGCCCACGGAGCGCUUUUCAAUCUUCUUUGAACGACUGGUCGCUGAAAGAGAAGUCGUAGUUCGAUCAGCGUGACCACUCUCUUUAUCUCUUAGUCAAAAGAAUUCCACUUCCACGUUCUCCUUCAACCGGAGGAAAAUGUACUGAGAGAUUGAAGGUAUUAAUUGCAGGAGGUCUUGUAGUUAACGAACUCUUCUUCUAAACCGGGAAGGGGUCGGACAUCAGACACCAGGAAAUUCACCAACCCUUGUUCAGUCAAAGCGUCGGUCGGCAUGGGAAGAUCAGCCCACCUAGGGAAUGAGGUCUUUCUGAUUAUUCAUUAAUAAUGAGAAGAUGAAAUACGGGAUUCAUAGGACAAAGAAAGUCAAAGGGUCGGCGAAGACAAAGGCCCCACCAACCAGUGUGAGAGCCAAAGAGGAGGCAGGCAGAUAGGGAAGGAUUGGAUCUCAACGGCUUACCCAAUGCUGCUAAGCCCUCGACCAGAGACUGAUAUGUGCUUGAUUUCAUUCUUCUCAUAACGGAAGGAUCCCUGCCUCGUGCGCCCUAUCUCUUCUUAUGUAUUCCUCGAGUUUUCUCUCUUUCGAGAAAUACGAUGUUAGUCCUUUCACUACGUAAAGUGCAGAUAUGAGGACCCUCCAAAAUAAUUGAACCGAAGGUGAAAAGAAUAUUGACGAGACUUCCAGGCUGCGAGAAGGACUAUCCAUUAGAGAAUUUGACUUUGGAGGUGCAAAGAUCUAUGGCCUAAUUAUAAGGGGUCCAGAUUACUAUCCAUUAGGGAAUUUGAGAUCAUCUGGACCUUUUUCAAACUACCGAGAAAUUGAGAAUGAGUUCUUCUUCAAUGUAGAUAGAGAAGGAUAAUUAUUACAUUUCGAAAUAGAGAAUGAGAUAAGGAAGAUUUUUUUCUUUCUUCGUUAAUGCAUUGAUGAAAUGGGAAUCAUCUCUAUUAUUUCAUGCCAUUGAUUUCAUUCAUUCUUCACUGACUAUGAUAGUGCAACGACGAAUCGCAUCUUUUCUUUCAUGCUUUGUUCAUGAUUUCAUUGGGUGGGAAUCUGAUAGUUCAUGCUUUCCGAAUGCUUACUGAAUCUUGAGUUCAUUCAUUCAUUCUUUGUUCGUCAGUUCUGAAUUCUGCUUUGAAUUGGACGUGAAUUUCUGGAACGAUAGCUCCGAAGAAGAAGAUCGGCGAAGGGAAAGCAAUCGAGACGAGGCGCCUUAUCACGGGUAGGCAGACUAAACCUCUUUCUCGUGAACUUUCUAGAAUAGAAGACAAAUACCACAUCAAGGUGACAGGAUUCGAACCUAUGGCCCUCUGUACCCAAAACAGAUGCGCUGACCAGACUGCGCUACACCUCGACCCCAUACCAUGAAGAGAAUGAACUCAAUAAGAACGAGAUAGUAGUACCGGAACUCCGAAAGAGAGAACUACUCAUGAAAAGGGCAAGGUCGACUUAUGACUCUCCUUUCCUCCAUCCACCAGUCGAUACUUCUUCGGUCCUAGCCUGUAUUCGACUUCCUUCUCGUUCAUAAACUCACUCUCACUUAAUUAAUUAAUUCCAUCUCGCCUUCUCGUACUUAUGAAACUCACCGCUCCGUGGUCCUCUUACCGCUACGUGGGCACUAACCUCAUAAGAACCGGGACAUAAGAAAGGGAUCUCAUGCCGGGAUCAGAGUACGAGCUACUUCAACUCAACCGUUAACAAGACAUGAGAAAGAGACCUACGGGAUGUUCCGGAGCUAACUCAAGAACUCAAGAAAGAGGCGCUUCUAAUCUCAAAUUCUUUGAGCCUCCUUCCUUCCAUAUGGAUGGUCCUACGGAUAAAUCACCUGGACCUUUCUUUGGCACUGCGGACUGCUUCGGUUAAUUACGGAUGGUCCUACUUCUGUUAAUUACGGAUGGUCCUACUUCGGUUAAUUACGGAUGGUCCUACGGAUAAAUCCUCCGGACUACUUCGGUUAAUUACGGAUGGUCCUACUUCCAUAUGGAUAGUCCUACGGAUAAGAAUCCUCCGGACCCUGGACCUUUCUUUGAUGGUCCUCCGGAUAAAUCCUGCGGACUGCGGACUCCGGACCCUGGACCUUUCUUUGGCACUCCGGACCGGUCUUAAUACUCCUAACGGAGGGUGCAAAGAAUUUGCGAAGAAGCCACCGAAGCCAAUUAAGGGCGAAGGCACCGCUACAAAUACAAAGUACAAAUCAAAGUACAAAGGCGCAAAGAAUAUUGCCUGGAACUUGAAUAAGGAGCUAAGCUGCUUUUGCUUUAGAGAGUUGAGAAGGAGGUUUCUUCAUUCUUUACAUAGAAUAGAGAGAGAGACUGACAUCUUCCUCAGUGAUGAGACCACUGAACCUUCUUAUACUCAAAUAGAGAGAAAGCCACUUUGACGACAAUAUCUCUAGUGAUUCAGAUUCAAGAUGAGAGUUCGGAACUUCUCUAGAACUUUUUUCGACAAGAUAGUGAAAAAGAAGAAAUUUCAGCCUAGGAGCUUUCCAGACCCACGGGAUCGGGACUAAGCCCUUGCUUUCUCUUAAUGCCGCCCUUGCUGCUUAGGCAGGGAGCCCACGGAGCGGACUCGUCCUUUCGAUUUGUUUUGGACAAGAGAAAGAGGUCUCUCUUUCGGCUUCAAGGCCUUACUCGGCUUCAGUCUCUGAUGCUUCAGUCUUAGAUGUGUCCGAAGACAAAUCCCCAAUUAACGAGAUAAUCCCUCUCUAUUCGGAAAGAUCCCAAUUCAAAGACUCGGUCGAUCGGCUUCUAACCUGGCUCUCUCUCUGAAGAGCCCAUGUUCGUGCUGUGCUCGCUGUGCUAAGGAGAGGGUCAAAGAAUUUGAGAAGCCGCAGACUUUGUAGCGGAAGAAGAAAAAGAACUUAUCCGGAUAGAAUCAGAUUUUGAAUAUCAUCAAAUCAUCAUCCUAUGAAUUCUCGGUACCCAAAAGAAGGGCCUACCGCCCCGUGGGAGGAGAGUAUGAAAGUAGCUCACACUGAAAUAGGAAGACGUACGAACCAUCAGUCAGAGCACGAGGGGCGAACGAGAGGAUCAGAGGAAAGCGCUCGACCGCCCCGUGGGGGUCUUAGGAGAAAGAUGAGUCACUCCAGUUCCAACUUCGUAUCUUGACUUUUUCUGCUUUGUUCCCUCCUUCUAAUCUCUAAGUUUCCUAAGAAAUAGGGAGUGGAUCUUUCCCUGAUUUAAAGGAGAGUUCUACGACAGAGGAGCUAUAUAAAGCCGCUUGACCGAAAGGGCUCCACCGCAGAGGCAGAGGAAGUUGAAUCAGUAGUUGAAGGAUAGGCUUUCUCUAGUAAAGCUUUUUUUGUUCAGAGGAGAAGUAGUAGUUCGAUCGGGAAUGAUCAAUCUCUCUUGACCAGUCUGAGAACUCUGAAUCCAAAGACUGUUUUUGACUUAUUCCGCAGAUGUCAAUGUUUCUGACUCAGCUGGUCCGAAGGCUAGGUUCAUACGGAUAGUCCGGAGGACGGUUAGUAGGAGCAAAGAGCGUGGAACUUAAUAAAGUCUUAUGGAACUGAAUAAAGAGGAAUUGAACCCUUGUUCAUUGUACUCAAAAUUCAUCUGCUAGAUUUCAGAUUAAUCUGCGGAGGGAAAUACAUGAUUUUGCUAGGUUUUGCCCAUAGGGAAGUAGCAAGAAAUCAUGAAAAAUCAGUCAAAAUUAGACAAUUAUCGUUAUUUAUCAAGAUUAACAAAAGUCCUAUUUUGCUUCAAAAAAGCCGGGAAAUUGCAAUGAAAGAAUCAAGCCUAGGCGCAAAGAAUAUUGCUCAAAGAAAUUCACAUUGUUUGAUUAUAGUUUGUGGUCCGGAGAAAGAGAGGUCUAUUCUUUAUUCCCAAUGAACAAGGCUCAAAGAAUUUGAGGAUUCUUUCAUUCUCGUUAAUUCGCUUCUUUUCUUUUUUCUUUUCGUCAACUCAUAUUACAUUGAGCCUAUUCAAUGCAUAUUUCCGCAAUAUUCUUUGCGCCUUUCUUUUUUUCUUUCUGUUUAAGUUCUUCUUCGAUGAUCAUUGGGUAUUCUUUGAGCUAUAACCUUGCUUUUCACUCAAUUAAAGGGUAGAAAAGAUCUUUCGCAAAUGAAGAAAGAAGAGAGGCGAGAGGCCUUGGCAAAUCAUGCUUACGAAUGAUGAGAAUGAUGCUACAACCCGUCCUCAGGCUCUAUAUUCUGUCUCAACAGAUGAUGACUCAAGAUCUAAUUCCGCUGCCUAGCAAAUCAACUUCCGAUCGAUCCCGAUCUUUUCACUCUUCCCCGACCGACGGGGAUUCCUCUACCCCUGCCUCUGAUUCCGAUUCCUAAACUGAGAAUGCUAACUCAGACUCGAUGACUCUUGAAGUUAUUAAUUCAAUGAAAGAGAGAAGGCGCCAUAAGACAGGGAUAUUGUUAGGAGUUGAGAAAAAAUAAAGAGAAAAAGAAUGAGACAGAAAACUUUUCAUGAUCUUCUUAGCUUUCUUAUCUUAUUUCAUCUUCUAACUAUCAUCAGCAAAGGUCAGACUCCUCGUCUUCACCCCCCCGAAUUCAUCCUCCUUCUACGUCAAAGAAAACAAAGGCGCAAAGAAUUUGCGAAUAAAGUCAUUCAAUUACUCCGGACUAAAAUCACUCAAUAUUCUUGCAAAUAUCUUUCUAUUUGACUCUUCGCAAAUUCUUUGCUCCCCUAAUUAAGCUACGGAGGACGAGUAGUCUUCUUCCACGCGAUUUCUCAUUCUUUGAAUGAUUCUCAUCCUUCUACCCCGAGAAAAUGAGAUUCAAGGUCGGUCUUUGAGUUGAAGAAGAAGCAAGGGUCUAGGAUUACUAGGUCCUUAUCUUCUUCUUUCAGUAUUCAGUCAUUGUAUUUCAGGAAUAAGCUGAGGCAGAGGAAUCACUCGAGAGCUAAGAGGCACAAAGGAAAGCGCUCGACCGCCAUUGUAUUUCAGGAAUAAGCUGAGGCAGAGUAGGAGUCAUCAUUCCCAGUUUUUCUGUAAAGGAAUAUGCUAACCACUUAGAGAAGUUUCAGUUCUUUCUUGUGAUCAAUUCAUUCUCAGUUCGUCAAGCCUGAUGCCAGCGGGACGGUAUCGCAGUCUCGGAAGUCGGAAUCAAGGUAAUCAUCAGUCGAGACCCCAAAUAUAGGAUAGAAAGGGCUUAGCCGUAUAGGAUAGGUUAUGCACUCGACUUCAAAAAAACCGGAAUGAAUUUGAAUAUGGAUUUCUCAAAUUCUUGAAUAUGUCCUCCUCUACGGGGAACGCUAUCAGGAUGCUGUCCUCAAGGGAGUCUAUAUAAAUAUCUAUUAUAUAGGAAAGGAAUCCUUUAAAGAAUUAACCUUUACUCAAGUCUCCCAUGAUGAGAUGAUUAGGAAUAUUAUCAAAGAAAUGAAUGCAGAAAUUGGUAAUCUACCCGAAGUUAAAUCACUUAAGUCUAAGAAAGCACGUAUUAGCACAACUAUAACUGCUAUCAAAGGUGAUGACCAAAAGGAAUGUUGUCCUUUCAUUGUCGCCGACAUAGAAAGAGUAUUGUUUCAUAAUGUGAAUUUCCUUAUGCCACCGGUUUCUUAGUAGUACAUCCUGGUGAUGAUCUGACUUCCAUACCUUACCACUCUAUAGAAACCUUCUUUAGUGAAAGUACUAAAAGUAUCUGUGAUAACUUUGAAGAAAGGAGUCAGAGAAUGUUAUCUAAUUUUAUAUCCACCUUGGAAGAAGCUGUGAUGAAAGAUAAGAAAGUUCAAACAAUAUAUUUCCAUAAUUUGUCAAAGUUUGAUGGCUUAGGUAUUACGCAGAUCGAGGGACGCAGUAUGUAAUCAAGCCCUUGGUUCGUAAUUCCUUUUUAUAUAAAGGUCUAUAAAGUCUCUAGAAAUAGAGAGAAGGCCGGUAAAUUAUUCUAUCUAUUUAGAGAUUCAUUGCAAUUACUUCCAAAUUCACUAUUAGACUUGGGUAUGACUCUAUGUCCCGAGUUAGGGGUCAAAGGUUAUAUUGACCAUAAGGAUGUUGUAGUGUCUGAUCUAGAGGAUAGAAGGGAGGAGCUGAUUUCCUAUCUUCGCCAGGAUAUUCUGAUUCUGGGUGGUGUCUUCUUAAAGAGUCAAGAAAUCAAUUGGGCUAAGUAUAAGAUUGAUAUCGUGAGAACAAUGACCUUGUCAGGUCUUUCGCUUAAGAUCUUCCGAAAAAAGUAUUUCGAUGAUACCUCCUUUCAUAUAUCAAUCCCUACACGAAACCAAGACACUUUUAUUAGGCGUGGCUAUUAUGGGGGACAUGUGGAUGUCUAUAAACCUGUAGGGCUAGAUCUUGACUAUUAUGAUGUCAAUUCACUAUAUCCCUUUGUUAUGAAAUCUUAUCCAAUGCCUUCUGGUGUCCCAGUCUGGGUGAAUAAUUUGUCUGGUGGCGUUGAUUUGGAUACCUUGUUUGGCUUUAUUGAGGCCUAUGUAGUAUGUCCAAGUAGUAUAGAACGUCCAUUUCUACCUUUUAAAGAAAAAUCAGGUACUUUAAUCUUUCCUACUGGUAAGUUCAUAGGAGUUUAUUACAGCGAGGAAUUCAAGUUCGCACGUACACUUGGGUACGAGAUAAUCCCACUGAGGGGUUAUUUCUUUGAGAAGAAGAAGAGUCCUUUCGAGGGUGUAAUCAACGACCUCCACAGUAGCCGACUAGAAGCUAAGAAAAGGGCUGAUGCUCCCAUGUCAUGGAUUUACAAAAUCCUAAUUCAUUCUCUAUACGGCAGAUUAGGUAUCAAUCCGGAAAGUAUUAUCACUGAAAUAUGCAAUCAAAAGCAGUACGAAGUACUUUAUAAUAAGGAUACUUGAAUAUCAGCGGAAAAGCUCACCGACUAUUACUAUACUGUCAAGUACUCCGUUAAUAGUAACAUAGUGGACGACCUCGAGUGGAAAGCACCCCGGAUGUCCGCUGUUCAUAUAGCUGCUGCUAUAAGAGCUUGUGCUCGGAUAUACAUUAUCCCUACAUUUCCCGACCUGACUGCUACUAUACGGAUACUGAUUCUAUCAUUCUAGGAAGUCCUCUUCCGGAGGAUUUAAUCUCUACCACUGAACUGGGUAAGUUUCAACUUGAAAACCGUGUGAAGAAAGGGCACCUAAAAGUUAUACUUUAACAGUUUCAGAUGAUACGAGGAUUGUUAAGCACAAGGGUCCAGCUAAGGACUUUGUGACACCGGAAUUCUUUGAACAGCUAUUAGCGGAUCCAUCCUUCUCAAAGGAGAUAGCACAUCAGGCUAAUUUCUGAAUCGAUUGGAAAAAACUCCAGAUCUUGAAUAAGGAUAUUAUUCUCAAACUCGCUUUACCCAAAAGUCAAAAGAGAGAGAAUGUCUUUGAUUCCAAUAAUUUCUGGGUAGACACCCGACCUAUAAAUGUUAUCGAUCUAGGAGUGGAAGACUCUAAUCUGAUUCUCAGAUAUGAAGAAGAGAUAGAGAUAGAGAGGACAAAUAGGGAAUCUCCGAGUCAGCCCCCUACUGUAGAACCAAUUCUGUACAAUACCAAUGCUGAGGCUAAGAAGUUGAAUGGCUUUUCCGAGAAGAAAGGCAAACCCAAAGCUAGAAGAAUGAGAAGCCAUAGGAAGAGGAAGAAGAGUUAGAUGAAAUAGGUCAGCCGGAACUGAUGCUUCCGUGUCAAGGGAUUGAACUCCGGUCUGCUGGAACUGAUGCUUCCGUGUCUAGGUCUGCUGGAACUGAUCCUUCCCUUUUUUCAUUUUUAUCCCUCCCUUAGAUUAUAACUUAGCACCCUUAUCUUUCCCCUACCUUCUUUUACCUUCCCUUAUCUUUGCCUAGGUGUCUACUUUAUGUCUUUCUUUGAUUUCCCUAAAGGACCCCCAAGUUCUUUCUUUGAUCUUUGAUUCUAUCUUUCUUUGUUCUUUUUGAUCUUUGAUUCUAUCUUUGUGAUUUUCUCUUUCUAAUGUACAAAUCAAAGACAGGUCCGAAGGCGUCACAGGUUAAUAUGGAUAGUCCUCGAAAUCUUCUUUGAGCCUUGUCGAGCUUCGAUCAUUCUUUCUCAAAUUCUUUGAUCCUCGUUCAAAUAAACCGGAAAUCUUCUUUGAACCUCCGGACUUCUUAAUAUGGAAAUAAGGGUCAAGACGACCGUCCGAAGGACUAUUUUAGUCAAGAGGCUCAAUUCAAAAACAAGGUUGAAGAUUCCUAUUUUAGUGGAAUAAGACUCCUUCCUAUUUUUGGAUAAAGAAGUCAAGAGGACGGAGGACGGGGUCCAAUAAAGAACUUUGCUCCCCCAAAGAAAGGUCCAGGUGAGACUCCGAAGGAGGAGUUUUCGGACUAUUAUAGUUAUAGUCGCUAAAAAAGGUCCAGUCCGAAGGACUAUCCAAAGUCAAGAAUAUCCCUGUCUUAUGGCACCUUCUGAACAUAAUGCUUUAAUUAAAGCGGGACUUCUUCGCAAUAUUCUUUGCGCCUGCUUCCAAAUUCAAAUUAGUAGGAUUGGUAUGAAAUAGACUAGGAAAGAGCUUUUCAGAGAGAAAUCGACCAUAGAGAUCUCGGAACUUAGUUAACGAGUCUUGGGGCUGGGGAAUCCGCAGUACCUCUUUGAGGCAAGGCGCCCACGGAGCGGACGAGUCCUUUCUCUUGGACUUUCAGUGGAUAAGUUUUUGCAGAUGAAAGAGACCUAGUUGGCAUGGUAAUUAUCACCUCUCGCGGGGUAAGUAGCUCGAGGCUAAGAGUUUCCGAAGAGGAAUGAGCCUCAUCUCUUUCCCAAGCCAAAGAAAGUGGCUUUUUCUUUCCUAUCUGACACCUAAAAAAGAGAAAGAAGGCUUGAUUUGAGAGGCGAGAUCGCUAGUUCCAUUAAUCAGUCACCUGGACCUUUGUUUAUAGAAGCACGCAAAUUGAAGAAUGUGCCCCCUCCCAGGAUGGAAUCAUAGUACCCUUUUGAGAGUUGGAAAGCAACAAAAAAACCAGUUGUCAGAUCUUCCUGAAAGAGAUGAGGCAGCAACUGAAAGGGCUAGAUUCUAGAUCCGCUACCCGUCCUUUGGACUGCUAACCUCUGCGGUCAGUCCUUCGGACCAGGUGCGCGAAGAAGAAAAAUCAGGCGCGGGUGCAGAUAGGCUCGGCUUUCUAUUAAGGAGUGCAAGGAUGAAUACUAUUUUGAUUAGGCGAAGGACUUCGCAAUAUUCUUUGCGCCUGUGGGCCUCCUCACCGCGGAGUGGGUUGAGCGCCUUUGUCCCGCCACCAGGCCGAGUUCGUCCCUUGGCACUCUAUACUAUAAGCAGCUGUUCCCGUGGUCUUCCUUUUCUUUACUUACUGUAGUAACUAAUAGCCUCUUAUAAUGAAACCUCCUCAGCGACGGACUCAUUUGGACUAUGGGUGGGUGGAUGGAACCGCUCCGUGGGACCCCACUGAAUUAGGCAAAAUGCACAUUUUCCCACUACUCUCAAAUGAGCAAUAUUCUUUGCACCUUUGUUUUUCUUUGAGUGGAAAAAAAUCAGUCAAAUGUUUUGGACUUCACUUAAAAGACUAGUAUUAUCAUCUGAUACGUUAACUUAUCCUUGGACGGGUAAAUAGUGGAAAAUGAAGCAUAGGGAAUAAAGAAAAGAUAUAAGGAGAAAAUCAAGUAUCCAGGUGCGCGAAGCGACUCUUAAGGCUGAAUUCAUUGAGUCAGAAUAUUUUCCAAAAACAAGGUCCGACCGCCCUGUGGGAAUAUAGAAGAUGAAAGUCGCGGAGGAGUCUUGUCUUCUUCUUCUUCCUCUUCCUAUGCUAGUGGAUAGUCGGACCCCCAUAUAAGAAUGUAUCAAAGAUUCCACUAUUCAUCAAGCCUAUCCAAAGUAGGAUUCACAUCAAAACUCAGAAAUUUAGUCCAUUUGAACAUUCAUCAAUGAGUGCCCUCUUUCAUGAUCUCUUUGGAUCAUCGGUUAGAAGCUUGCAUGAACUAAGAAUCGGCGCGUAGGGGCAAGGGGAAGAGUCCGAUCAUUCCCAGACAGUAUUAGUUGUUGAGGAUCAAGGUGAGAGGAAGCGAAGGAGAGGAAAGAAGAGGUAGCAUAAGUUCUUUUUCUUGCAUUCUCUAGCCCUUUCAAUAGGGAUCCAUCAAUCGUACGCGCUCACCCUCACUUAAAGGUAACCCACUACGCGUACGCGGGUAACUGAAGCAAGACUUCUCCGGCGAUAUAAAGCAGCUCGACAAGACUCGCUCGGAUCGGGGCAGGGGAAUCAUAAUCCUAAACAGUUGCGGCUUAGGCAUAAAAGGGCGGGGGUCAACCUAUUCUCUUUUGUCUGUCGGAACAUGAAUCCGGAGGGGAGUCGGCUUCAGUCGGGUAUUUGUCCUCAACUCAUAUCUUAAGAAAAUGCUAACUUCUCCUAACAUUGACCUUCAAAGAUUUCAGGAUCCCGGGAUCCCAAGGUCGGUCGAUAGAACGAACAGGUGCUCAGCCGCUCUUUCUACUAAAGGGAGAGGUCUGAAGCCAGAUCGUUCGCAUUCCGGUGCAUUCUUUGUUUAUGGCCUUAUACCUUUGACAAUGUAAUGUCUUACUAAUGGAAUUUCUGGCCAAUAGUAAUACACCCCCGGAAGCGUGGGUACCUUUGUCGCAAGGAGCCGCCCACGUAGCGGUAUACCGAUAUUCCCCGAGAGUGAGAGAAAGAAGCUCUUUUUAAGAGAUAAGAGGGGGGUCGGUUGAUCUUGUCAUGGUUUACAUUGGGAAGGCUCUUUGGCCAAAGCAAUUAGUAAGAAAAGAAUUACAACUUUCAGUUUCUAGUCGGACUCCCCAAAAUAGCAAGGAGUCUUAAGACCGAAGAACCUAGAAUAGCCGCAAUAUUCUUUGCACCUCCGGACCGCUCCGUUUUCCUUUUCAGAUUCACGCCUUCUUAAAAGGACAUAUAUGUCUUCUAUCUGAAAAAUACCUUCAACUAGUCUGAAAGAUCCCUUUGGGACUUGGACUAAAUUGGGUGCCCAAGGCGAUGGAGAAUAACCAUGAUCCUGUUAAGAAGGAACUGGGUAAAGGCGUCUAGUUCAUUCUAUUCAAAUACUGCCGGCCUGGUAAGAAGAUCCACUCCCUACUGAAAUAAAAGGAAGAAAGAGAAAGCAAGGGCUUCUUUUUGAGUGCCCGCAAAGGCUAUAUUUUGUAUGCCUUUGAUAAAAGGUAUCUUACUGAGUAUGCGAACAGUGCCUUAUCAUGGUGUGGGAUGGGUCCGCUGUUUUCGUCCGUCCUUGGUGCCUUUGAUCCACAGCCCCACUUACGAUGCGGUAGAUUAGCUCAGUCCCUUGAAGGCGGGGGAAAGAGAGGGAUAUUUGCUAUAGGAAACUAUAUGGGUCCAAUCAAGAAAUUUCUGGAUAUUCCUUCCAUAACCUUUUCCGCCUAUCGAGCCUUUGUCCUUCGAUUUUCAGAGUGCAACUGUGGCCAGUGCAGAAUCAAGAUAAAUAAAGAAGACUUGGUCCUGGCUUCAUCAAUCGUCAAUUCCACAUUAGGACUGAAUAUCUUUUCUGGUCAAGCGGGAGAAUAUUCUUUCCUUUAUGCGUGGACAACCCCCACUCUGCGGUUAUUAUGCCUCCUUUUCUGAUUUGAGCACUAUCACACCAUUUCUUGGUAAUCUUGGAGUCUCGGGUAAAAGUUGACUUUGUGAUACUAUACUGGGUCCUUCUAAUUUGCCAAGAAGUUCUUUCUUACAUGUGAAGGGGAAAAAUUGAACCUUGAACCUCUAUCAUUGGUGGAUCUGCUUUCGCCUCGAUCCAUCCAAGGUACUUGUCAACUAAGUCACCGAUACUCAAUCACCAAUCCUUCCACAGUCUUUCGGCUGUAUGGGGCAGAGUCCCUUCCUCACUUUAUUCCUCAAGUGGGAGGGGUUAUGGACAGUUGCUACAAAGCCUCCGGAUUGAAUCCCUAUCUGUUCUUCCUGGAGAAGUUCUUGCUUUUCUUGCAGCAUCCUCAGUCCAUUUCUCUUUCAUUAAGGUGGAGAUCUCGCUUUCUCUAGGGCUAGAGGCAGAGUCCGAAAGUCGAAAGAUCGGGGGAAGAAGCGCAAGACCAGACCUACCUGGGAGUCCAGUUUCAUGGGCCUUAGCCUGAGAUCGUCGUGGGAGACUUUCCUUUCUUUCUCGUGCACGAGUCCUUUGACUGAUUAUUUACGGAGGCUCAGAACCUGAACUUUUCAUUGAUCCUUCAUCAUAUACCAUAGUAAUAUUCAUAAUAGCUUUUCAAGCGACUUAUCAAGCAGAAGAAGAAGAGCUGAAAGGACUGCUUCCCUUGAAAGCGCACCAAGGGCAACUUUUAGUGGGUUUAGGGUGGAGUUCAUGAACUUUUACGAAAGGAAAGUCUCGCUAAGACUCCGCCUCUACAACUCUCUCUCUCCUUCUUUGUGUUCUGCCUACCGCCCCGUGGGAAACCUAAAAGAAAUACGAAAGCCUACCGUCGACCUCUCUAUUCCAUUUCAUUUGUUGCGGGACUGAUUUAUGGAACUUGAAUCUUGAAGGAGAAUUAACCCGAACCGCUCCGGUCCUCACCUUGAUUUCUGUUGAAAGGUAGGCUUUCUUCUUCUUCUUCCUCGGACUAUUUCUCAAUCUUAGACUUUUCUUAGCUAACGGCUAACGAUAAAAGAUCUUUUUGACUGAUUUUUCAUGACUGACAGCCAUACCCAAAACCUUGCAAAAUCUUGUAUUGAACUCCUUAAGCAAAGAUGUCAAAAAUCUACCAAUUCCCAUUUUCUUUUCUUGACUUUAUUAUCGUUAAUGAGUUCAUUCUUCUUUCAUUAGUUCAUUAUUCUUGAAUUCGAGUUAAUGAGCUUCUUUUCUUUGAUUGACUUUGAACAGGUCCGAAGGACUAUCCAUAUUAACCUGUCUGUCCGAAGGUGAAAAGAAUAUUGCUCAAAGAAAAAUCAGGUGCAAAGAAAAGAAUAUUGCGACUUUGAGGCUUUCGAAACUCAUAUAUAUAUUAGAAUUCCGCUUGAGAAAUGAAAUAGUCUUUUCACCUCACUAGAUCCGAGACUUGCCCCCAUGGAAGAGAGUUUCCCUGCCUAUUUCUUGAUUCAUUACCGACUGAAGGGGAAAUGCUUCCUUCUUUCUCUCCGAGCGAAAGGGAUGGAUUCUCAAAUCAGUAGAGGACAAAGUCCCCAGGCAUCAUAUAAGAGGUAGAAAGUCCCCACGCAUGCAUCGGGGAUCAGGGAAAAGGUAAAGGCCUACCCAAAUCACUCUUUUCCUAUUCAUAGGUCAGAUAGAAGAAAGAAAGGGUCAGAGGCAAGCCGCAUCACUGCACUGGUCGGAAGCAAGCCUCGGUUCAGUCUUUGAAAUGAAAGGGCUUCAAUGUCCCGGCAAAGAACCCCCGAAAGUUUGAACAUUCUUUCUAGUAAAAGGUCCCAGGGUGCGGGAGCUAGGGCCGAGACCAGCCUUCCCACCGCAGCUUUCUCUUUAUUGAUAGGCUUUCGAGAGGCUUUUGCAUAUUAUGCAUUUCAAAGACGAUCCCUAGAAUUUCAAUUCUCUUUAUAGAUCCUUCACGCAUUUCUCAUUCUCAAUUCGACGAAAAGCAAGACAGCGAAUUCGUACCAGCCUUCCCCGGGCAUUUAAGGAGAAGGAAGGUGAGAAGGAGUUCGAGUUAGUUAUAUAACGAAGUCGAGAAGACUUAGGCGAGCACAAUACCCUUUAGGAGGCGGAGGGGGCCCUAACCCCGCAGAUUGACUGGAUUCUUUUACCUCUUCCUCCUCCUCUUGUAAGCCGAACCCAGUAAGGUAUCAAGAUCGGAAGCAUAAUCAUAAAUGUGAGGGAAAGUUGCAGGAAGGGGAUCCGCCGUCCCAGUUCGUCUUCUUGGAGUUUUCUUCUCAUUCUUAUCCUAGCCCUAUCCUCUUUCAUGCCUUAUUCAUGCAUUGGCCUCAUUCAAGGCCUAUUUCUUGAUUUCGUGGUCAUGAUUGGUGGACACAUAUUUCCCAUUCUUUCUCCUUGAACUUAUCUAAUAAGCGAGAUCCGGUCUCACAAGAUAAGCCAUUCUACUUCCACUUCUCCUUCCUUCGCUCCUGCAGCGACUCCAAGAGCAAGAUCUGCUACGGAAAGGGCGGCUACAGAGACAGCGAAUUCGGCGGGACCUACUUAUUUCUAUUCUUCUCGAUCCAUUCUCAUCCUCUCGAGUGGGCCUACCCACGUAGGGGUCUGAUUCCAAUUCUUCUUCCCUACCACUAAAUCCGGGGGUGAUCCUCUUAUUCAUGGGGGGGGCCCCUUCCACCAUCCACGCGCUUAGUGAGCACCUUUUCCCGUCCGAAGGACUAAGCAGCUUUUUAUUCCAUGAAAUUCUAAAGCAAAAUGGACCUUUUCUUAUAAAAGAGGGAACUCCCCAAGUAUUUACCCACCAUGAGCACAUUCCCACUAAGAAAUGCUGUCUCCCUAUACUUUGAUUAUGGCCUAAAAAAUACUAAAAGGCAUAAAAAAAAAUCAGACGGCCAAGAUCUCUGAAAUGAUAAGAAAAGGAGUACUUUACCCUUCCAUUAGCGAGAGCUUGCCUGCUGGGGACAAGAGGAGUGAGUCGGUACCAUCCGCCUUCUUUUUCUUCUUUUCAUUGUCCAUGCCUUAACCUUGAAACUAACUGGUAGAUGCACUUACUCGUCUGACUGGGUAAAAAGGCUUAUGGAGAUAUCCAAAGAUCCGAAGAUCCGCCGGCGUGGGGUAGCCGAUUAGGGGGUUGCACCGAGAACUUGGCCACUAUAGAACCAUGAACUACUAUGAUUAACUAAUUCUCGGGCGAAUAGUCGAAAUACCCAAUCUUUAUCUUAUCCAAAGGCAUUGAAACUCAUUCUAGUCACCCUUCUUUGUUCCGGCGAUACGAAGGUAUUUAAGUCAUUCUCCUUCUGUAAGACGAAGCGGUUUUGGGCUUAGUCCCGGCCACGGUCUUUUGAAAGGAGGCCAUUGAAAUUGAAUCAACUCCAAGGAAAGGAAAUGAGAGCAGCUCUCGGUUGACCCGAGACUGACCAAAACGAGUGAUUUCUACCGGAAACCACACCUCUUUCGAUGCAAAGCGAGUAAAACAAGGGAGGUCCUUCAUGCCAUUAAAGCAAAGGUGGAUAGGGGUACGCAAACUUCACUCUUUGGAUGGUAAACUCGACCGGCCAUUCGCAUGAGGGUCUUGAGUCAGUGGCUCUUUCUGUAUCGGUUGAACAAGGUGCAAUGAAAUAUGCGUUGAGAAAGGUAGAAAACGAGUCCUUCUACUUUAAGUCUUCUCAAUCGCUUCAUUGCGGAGAAGAAGGAAGAGCGGAUUCACCGACAAAAACUAGUACUGUUAGACGGAACGAACAAAGGAUCUGGUUUAACGGAUUGGUUUACGCCUACACGGAUAGAAAUCUCUGUAUUCCCUUUUCUUUCUACGUUUUCCGCACUUUUACGAGCCCCUGUUCAUUGACUCCUUCUUAGUCGAGCUUCUUCGAACCCUAUUGUUUUGAGUCGUCCGGAGGACUCAUAAACACCAUUAGCACCUGCCUCCGGACCCUUGUUCAUUGAUCUUUCAAUGUCUACUUAAAGAAGAGAGGGAGGGCAGAACGAAGGAUACGGACUCCGAGCAACUGGUCUCGCAACCGCUCCGUGGGGCCUCUCGAUCUGGGAUAGAGCAGGUCUUUGGACGUGCCCGUACUCCCCUGGCCGGCUCCCUUCCCACGCGGUCAAUCCGGUCUCCUCUAAUUCGGUAAAUAUGGGUUCAUUCAAAAAAGGAAUAAGGAAAAAGACCCGCCCGAGUCCUCUUCUUCUUCUUGGUUGACUCGUGCGAUUCUUCGAUUGAAGGGUUUGCUAGGUAAAAUGAAAAAUUCAUGAAGUAGUGGUCCUACUUCGGUUAAUUACGGAUGGUCCUACGGAUAAAUCACCUGGACCUUUCUUUGGCCCUGCGGACUGCGGACUCCGGACCCUGGACCUUUCUUUGGCACUGCGGACGAGGCGCAAAGAAUAUUGCGGAUUUGCGUUCCGCUUUGUUUUUAGCUGAAGGAUUUGGUAAAGAGAUAGGAGGCAUACUCAUGCUUAUUCAUCCGCCCCCUGUCCUCUCAUCGGGAAAGGAGCGAAGCGAAGGAGCGAGACCGGAAAGGAGGAAAAGAAGAAAGCCGGUGAUAGAAGGAAGGAGGCCCCCGAGAAAGAGUACGAAAGGGAAGAGAAAGAGGCAGAAAGGUAAGAGAAGCAUCUGAGAGUAUGAUGAAUGAUCUCUUUCAUUCUCCGGGAUGGAAAGUAGACAAGCGAGAGGCGCAUAUUGCUUUAGAAUAUUGCGUGAGAAAGAUUAGACAGACGAAGGCUCAAUGUAAUAUG